rnacentral:rRNA from 1 species
CGGAGCUUGCUCUGGUGGCGAGUGGCGAACGGGUGAGUAAUAUAUCGGAACGUACCCAAGAGUGGGGGAUAACGUAGCGAAAGUUACGCUAAUACCGCAUACGAUCUAAGGAUGAAAGCAGGGGACCUUCGGGCCUUGUGCUCCUGGAGCGGCCGAUAUCUGAUUAGCUAGUUGGUGAGGUAAAGGCUCACCAAGGCAUCGAUCAGUAGCUGGUCUGAGAGGACGACCAGCCACACUGGAACUGAGACACGGUCCAGA